UACGGAGGGUGCGAGCGUUGUCCGGAAUCACUGGGCGUAAAGGGCGCGUAGGCGGCCUGAUAAGUAGGGGGUGAAAUCCUGCGGCUUAACCGCAGGGCUGCCUUCUAAACUGUCAGGCUUGAGCACAGUAGAGGCAGGUGGAAUUCCCGGUGUAGCGGUGGAAUGCGUAGAGAUCGGGAAGAACACCAACGGCGAAAGCACUCUGCUGGGCCGAAACUGACACUGAGAGACGAAAGCUAGGGGAGCAAAUGGG
rnacentral:rRNA from 1 species